rnacentral:rRNA from 1 species
GUGGGGAAUAUUGGACAAUGGGCGAAAGCCUGAUCCAGCCAUGCCGCGUGUGUGAAGAAGGCCUUCGGGUUGUAAAGCACUUUAAGCGAGGAGGAAAGGUUGAAGGUUAAUACCCUUUAGCUGUGACGUUACUCGCAGAAUAAGCACCGGCAAACUUCGUGCCAGCAGCCGCGGUAAUACGAAGGGUGCAAGCGUUAAUCGGAAUUACGGGGCGUAAAGCGCGCGUAGGUGGUUAAGUAAGCGAUCUGUGAAAGCCCCGGGCUCAACCUGGGAAUUGCAGGUCGAACUGCUUGGCUAGAGUAUGGUAGAGGGGUGUGGAAUUCCAGGUGUAGCGGUGAAAUGCGUAGAUAUCUGGAGGAACAUCAGUGGCGAAGGCGACACCCUGGACCGAUACUGACACUGAGGUGCGAAAGCGUGGGUAGCGAACAGGAUUAGAAACCCCAGUAGUCC